rnacentral:tRNA from 1 species
GCUUAAGUAGUUUAAUCUAAAACACUGGUCUUGUAAACCAAAAAUGAAACCUACUUUCCUAAAGCA